rnacentral:rRNA from 1 species
AUUGAACGCUGGCGGCAGGCUUAACACAUGCAAGUCGAGCGGGGUGAUGGUGCUUGCACUAUCACUUAGCGGCGGACGGGUGAGUAAUGCUUAGGAAUCUGCCUAUUAGUGGGGGACAACAUCUCGAAAGGGAUGCUAAUACCGCAUACGUCCUACGGGAGAAAGCAGGGGAUCACUUGUGACCUUGCGCUAAUAGAUGAGCCUAAGUCGGAUUAGUUAGUUGGUGGGGUAAAGGCCUACCAAGGCGACGAUCUGUAGCGGGUCUGAGAGGAUGAUCCGCCAAGCUGGGACUGAGACACGGCCCAGACUCCUACGGGAGGCAGCAGUGGGGAAUAUUGGACAAUGGGGGGAACCCUGAUCCAGCCAUGCCGCGUGUGUGAAGAAGGCCUUAUGGUUGUAAAGCACUUUAAGCGAGGAGGAGGCUCUUUUGGUUAAUACCCAAGAUGAGUGGACGUUACUCGCAGAAUAAGCACCGGCUAACUCUGUGCCAGCCGCCGCUGUAA